rnacentral:rRNA from 1 species
AACGAACGCUGGCGGCAUGCCUAACACAUGCAAGUCGAACGAGACCUUCGGGUCUAGUGGCGAACGGGUGCGUAACGCGUGGGAACCUGCCCUUAGGUUCGGAAUAACUCCCCGAAAGGGGUGCUAAUACCGGAUAAUGUCUUCGGCCCAAAGAUUUAUCGCCUUUGGAUGGGCCCGCGGUGGAUUAGCUAGUUGGUAGGGUAAAAGCCUACCAAGGCGACGAUCCAUAGCUGGACUGAGAGGAUGAGCAGCCACACUGGGACUGAGACACGGCCGAGACUCCUACGGGAGGCAGCAGUGGGGAAUAUUGGACAAUGGGCGAAAGCCUGAUCCAGCAAUGCCGCGUGAGUGAUGAAGGCCUUAGGGUUGUAAAGCUCUUUUACCCGGGAUGAUAAUGACAGUACCGGGAGAAUAAGCUCCGGCUAACUCCGUG